rnacentral:lncRNA from 1 species
GGGUUCAGGGGUUGUGGAAAUCGCCAAAGAGCCUAUGCAUUUAGGCAUUAGAUCAGCUUUGGGCUUGCACAAUAAUAAGAUGCUAGUAUGCCCAGAAGCCUCCUUGAACACAUAAUGCUAGAGAAAUAUAGAUAUUAGGAUCCCAGGGGAUCAAGCUUGAGUCAUAGGCAGUAAUAUUCAAUAUUGGCAUACCUCAAGCAAACCAUAAGCAUUAAAAACAUUGGGGUAGGAAUUUAGGAUAGCAUAGUAAAUACAUAACAUGCAUAACCAUGCUAAAAUAAACACUAAACUAAACACCAGCGGCAGGCAGACAAAAGGGAAAAAGGAUUAAUUAAACACAUUGUUGUGAUGCUGGAAUCUUAAUCAGAACAUACCAUUUCAGAGAAGCAAAUACAGUAAGAGCAGGUAACAAGACUUUGAAAGCAGUCCACAAUACAAGUAUCAAGAAGGAAUAUUUUUUGAGUGUGAGUGUGAGUUCAGAAAACUAAAAGUAUUCGUGUGUAAGUGAUGUUAGAACUCAGAGUGUUAGUGUGUGUUAAUGAAAAAGCCAGGGUAUUUAUAGUUUUGAAAACAUGUAAAAAAUAAGGCAAGAAAAUAAUUAUGGAACUAUCAUCAAUUAAAAUCAAAUCAGUAUCGAAGACUUCCUUUAAGUAAUGAGUUAAAAUCAAACGGUAACAUGCCAGUACUAAAUAAGCAAAGAAAUCACAUAGGGCUGAAUAUGACCAAUAAGGAAGCAUAUUACAAGUACACAAUAGGUAAUAGAGACUAGGUUUAUCAAAUUCUAAUCAAAGAAAGGUCGGC